rnacentral:rRNA from 1 species
CGAACGCUGGCGGCAGGCCUAAUACAUGCAAGUCGAACGGCUCUUCGGAGCAGUGGCGGACGGGUGAGUAACGCGUGGGAAUGUGCCCUUAGGUACGGAACAACACAGGGAAACUUGUGCUAAUACCGUAUGUGCCCUUCGGGGGAAGGAUUUAUCGCCUUUGGAGCAGCCCGCGUUGGAUUAGGUAGUUGGUGAGGUAAAGGCUCACCAAGCCGACGAUCCAUAGCUGGUCUGAGAGGAUGACCAGCCACACUGGGACUGAGACACGGCCCAGACUCCUACGGGAGGCAGCAGUAGGGAAUCUUGCGCAAUGGGCGAAAGCCUGACGCAGCCAUGCCGCGUGUAUGAUGAAGGUCUUAGGAUUGUAAAAUACUUUCACCGGGGAAGAUAAUGACGGUACCCGGAGAAGAAGCCCCGGCUAACUUCGUGCCAGCCGCCGCAGUAACAC